rnacentral:rRNA from 1 species
UACGUAGGGGGCAAGCGUUGUCCGGAUUUAUUGGGCGUAAAGAGCGUGUAGGCGGUCAGGUAGGUCCGUUGUGAAAACUCGAGGCUCAACCUCGAGACGCCGAUGGAAACCAUCUGACUAGAGUCCGGAAGAGGAGAGUGGAAUUCCUGGUGUAGCGGUGAAAUGCGCAGAUAUCAAGUGGAACACCAGUGGCGAAGGCGAGUCUCUGGACAUUUCCUGACGCUGAGGCACGAAAGCCAGGGGAGCAAACGGG